rnacentral:tRNA from 1 species
GGAGAUGUUGCUCAGUGGGAAAGUGCUUGCCUGGCAUGCAUGAAGCCCUGGGUUCCAUCUCCAGUACCACCC